UCGGGUUGUUUGGGAAUGCAGCCC
rnacentral:ncRNA from 2 species